rnacentral:rRNA from 1 species
GACGAACGCUGGCGGCGUGCUUAACACAUGCAAGUCGAACGGUGAUGCUCCAGCUUGCUGGAGUGGAUCAGUGGCGAACGGGUGAGUAACACGUGAGCAACCUGCCCCAGACUCUGGAAUAAGCGCUGGAAACGGCGUCUAAUACUGGAUACGAAACUGGCCCGCAUGGGCAUGGUUUGGACAGUUGUUCGGUUUGGGAUGGGCUCGCGGCCUAUCAGCUUGUUGGUGAGGUAAUGGCUCACCAAGGCGACGACGGGUAGCCGGCCUGAGAGGGCGACCGGCCACACUGGGACUGAGACACGGACCAGACUCCUACGGGAGGCAGCAGUGGGGAAUAUUGCACAAUGGGCGAAAGCCUGAUGCAGCGACGCCGCGUGAGGGAUGACGGCCUUCGGGUUGUAAACCUCUUUCAGCAGGGAAGAAGCGAAAGUGACGGUACCUGCAGAAGAAGCACCGGCUAACUACGUG